UGAAGUCAGUGAAUUAAUUACGUAAAAUGUAUUAUAACUGAAGUUCAGGGACAGCCAAGGUCAGGUAGUGAGGAGCAGAGACCACAGGGACCACCAGGGACAGCCAGUGUACAUGCAGGUUCCGGUUCUUCUGUGCAGCAGAACAUGUCCAGGUCUUUCCCAGGACUUUUUAGAGAAAGGCAGAAUUCCCGUGCCGUACGGACAACAA